rnacentral:sRNA from 1 species
GUGCUGAUGGCAGAGAUUGGUGAGGAUUUGGAUAAAUCUGAUGUGUCCUCAUUAAUUUUCCUCAUGAAGGAUUACAUGGGCCGAGGCAAGAUAAGCAAGGAGAAGAGUUUCUUGGACCUUGUGGUUGAGUUGGAGAAACUAAAUCUGGUUGCCCCAGAUCAACUGGAUUUAUUAGAAAAAUGCCUAAAGAACAUCCACAGAAUAGACCUGAAGACAAAAAUCCAGAAGUACAAGCAGUCUGGUAAGAAUUUUGGCCUCUCAGUGGUCUAGAGGAAGUACUCUGUGCAUGGGGGUGGGCAUCAUGACUGAUAAAUAUUCAUUUGUUGGAUAGGUGGAUGGAAUGGAACCCGGAUGACCAAAGCCUCCUUUAGCUUGUGGCUAGAAAUCACGUCCCUUUAUAUUCUUCAUAUCCCAGAUCUGCCAACUCCAUUGCCCUGUAUAUUCAUGAUCUCUGCAAAAUGCUGCCAAGCAGUUCUUAACAUUUCAGUCUUCAAGAAAGAAUCUGGGAUCUGCACAGGCUGGCAGAGCUAUGAACAUUCAGGGGUUUU